rnacentral:lncRNA from 1 species
AUAUCUAUAUAUAAAUAUAAAGUAGGGAAUAGCAAAAGUGAUGUGGCAUAUCUCAAAUUCCAAGAGACCUAUUUAUCUUUUUUCUCAUUUAUUUGCAAUUUUCUCCUUAUUAUUUAUAUAAUAUAUAAAACUCAAUUCAACUUCUGUUUUAAAAAUCAGAAGUCACAACCGUUACUAAAAGUCACAUACUUACAAACGAUUCCCAUUAAUUAGGAAUACCAAAAGCCACAACAGUUUUGUAACGGUGCAUAAUCUUUGUAACGAUGCAUACAAAGAUCAGCUUCACUUUAAAGCAUUGAUCCAAUCACAGAAACGCCGUACUCCAACAAAACAGAACAGAUGUUAUUUAUAUUAUAGUAGUUGUUUCUCUUUUUCUCUCUUAAUCUUUUUGUUUGAAUUUAAUAUUGUCUUCCUCAGAAUAUGCUCACAAUUUUCUUGGUACGUACUCAAGAUAUGCUUCAUUUUUUCGUAGAUUUGACUGAUUUACCUUCCUUAGGAAAGAUCAGAAAAGGAAAACGCUUCUGCAAUGUAAUUUUGUGUUCUUAAAAUAAGUUCACAUGUUCUUGGGUAUUGACACAACAUUCAAAUUCACUAACGCUUCUAUUGGAAAUUAAAAUUGCAUAUACAAGAUUCUUCAUGUAUAUGAAGUUGAAAAAGAUAAGUCAGAUGCUUCUCAUGUGGGAUGGCACGAAUACUCCAUUAGUCACUAUCAAUUAUCUAAACAAAGUGAGUGCUUUUUACUUUCCUAAGUAGGCUUUGAACUCGGAGUACACUUGUGAUGUCAGUAGACAAAGUUCAAUUAGGAGAGGCCGGUGCGCAGUGGAAUGGAACUUUACCAAGCCGAAGUGGCUUACUCUUGCAAUAGCUUUAUUCUGCUUACAAUCGUUUGGGUUACAUCUUUAUCAAGGCCUCAAGGGCUAUAUAUGGACAUACUGAAGAAGAACAACACUAAUGUAUAUAUGGUAAAAUUCUCUUCCACUUUUUUUUCUUCCUUUUGCAUUAUUUUAUGGAGGCAACAUAUCUUCUUUUUUUUUACAUUUAGUUUAAGCUGAAAUUAGUGUUACUUAAUGUCUCUCCGUAAUCCUUGAAAGCUGGUGGUACUGGAGGAUUAAUACUUUUGCUUUUUUCCAUUUUAUAUAGAUUUUCAGGAUUUAUGAUUUUGGUAAGAGUGGAACCAUGAGUUUUGAAGUUGAAGAAGAUCUCUUGCAGAUUGUCUCUAUAUUCUCAUUCAUCCGUUAGCUUUUCAUUGGUAUGAAAGUUUAUAUAGUUGAAUCCAGUUUUUCUUUUAUGUGUUAUAUGUUUAAUUACAGAUAUUCUUUCAAGCUU